UACGUAGGGCGCAAGCGUUGUCCGGAAUUAUUGGGCGUAAAGAGCUCGUAGGUGGUCUGUCACGUCGGUUGUGAAAACCCAAGGCUCAACCUUGGGCCUGCAAUCGAUACGGGCAGACUAGAGUACUGCAGGGGAGACUGGAAUUCCUGGUGUAGCGGUGGAAUGCGCAGAUAUCAGGAGGAACACCGGUGGCGAAGGCGGGUCUCUGGGCCGGUACUGACGCUGGAG
rnacentral:rRNA from 1 species